UACGGGGGGGGCAAGCGUUGUUCGGAAUUACUGGGCGUAAAGGGCGCGUAGGCGGUUCGCUAAGUCGAAUGUGAAAACUCUGGGCUUAACCCAGAGCCUGCAUCCGAAACUGGCGGACUAGAGUUCUGGAGGGGAUAGCGGAAUUCCUGGUGUAGCGGUGAAAUGCGUAGAUAUCAGGAGGAACACCGGUGGCGAAGGCGGUUAUCUGGACAGAAACUGACGCUGAGGCGCGAAAGCUAGGGGAGCAAACAGG
rnacentral:rRNA from 1 species